rnacentral:rRNA from 1 species
UACGUAGGGGGCGAGCGUUGUCCGGAGUUACUGGGCGUAAAGCGCACGCAGGCGGUCUGCUAAGUUUGGAGUGACAGUUGAUGGCUCAACCAUCAAAGUGCUUCGAAAACUGACAGACUUGAGGGCUUCAGAGGGACACGGAAUUCCAGGUGUAGUGGUGAAAUACGUAGAUAUCUGGAGGAACACCGGUGGCGAAGGCGGCUACCUGGCCCAACAUUGACACUGAGACCCGAAAGCGUGGGGAUCAAAACAGGAUUAGGAAAACCCGAGU